GAUGAACGCUAGCGGCAGGCCUAAUACAUGCAAGUCGAACGGUGUCUUCGGACAUAGUGGCGCACGGGUGCGUAACACGUAUGCAACCUACCUUACAUUGGGGGAUAGCCUUUCGAAAGGGAGAUUAAUACCGCAUAAGACAGUAGCUGGGCAUCCAGCAGCUGUUAAAGAUUUAUCGAUGUAAGCUGGGCAUGCGUCCAAUUAGCUAGUUGGUGAGGUAACGGCUCACCAAGGCAAUGAUUGGUAGGGGAACUGAGAGGUCAAUCCCCCACACUGGCCCUGGGAGACGGGCCAGACUCCUACGGGAGGCAGCAGUAGGGAAUAUUGGGCAAUGGACGCAAGUCUGACCCAGCCAUGCCGCGUGCAGGAUGAAGGCGUUAUGCGUUGUAAACUGCUUUUAUACAGGAAGAAACGACUCUUGCGAGAGGCAUUGACGGUACUGUAUGAAUAAGCACCGGCUAACUCCGUGCCAGCCGCCGCCGUAAAAC
rnacentral:rRNA from 1 species